AUGAUGGUUGUGAGGGAACAGACACCGUCGAAAGCGCUUGCAAUAGUCCCAAUUCAGGUUUUUGUGCCGGCAUCCCAAACAACCACUGAGACAGAUUUUGAACCAACCCCUAUGCUACAGAUUGAAGGGACUAUAGAAACCACUCCUGAAACCCCCAAACAACUUCAAGAGACCACACCCACGAUUCCCCCAGCUCCAACUAAAAU